CUACGUGCCAGCAGCCGCGGUAAUACGUAGGGUGCGAGCGUUAAUCGGAAUUACUGGGCGUAAAGCGAGCGCAGACGGUUACUUAAGCAGGAUGUGAAAUCCCCGGGCUCAACCUGGGAACUGCGUUCUGAACUGGGUAGCUAGAGUAUGUCAGAGGGGGGUAGAAUUCCACGUGUAGCAGUGAAAUGCGUAGAGAUGUGGAGGAAUACCGAUGGCGAAGGCAGCCCCCUGGGAUAAUACUGACGUUCAUGCUCGAAAGCGUGGGUAGCAAACAGGAUUAGAUACCCUGGUAGUCCACGCCCUAAACGAUGUCGAUUAGCUGUUGGGCAGCUUGACUGCUUAGUAGCGUAGCUAACGCGUGAAAUCGACCGCCUGGGGAGUACGGUCGCAAGAUUAAAACUCAAAGGAAUUGACGGGGGCCCGCACAAGCGGAGGAACAUGUGGUUUAAUUCGAUGAUACGCGAGGAACCUUACCCGGGCUUGAA
rnacentral:rRNA from 1 species